UGCAGUCGAACGAUGAAGCCUUUCGGGGUGGAUUAGUGGCGAACGGGUGAGUAACACGUGGGCAAUCUGCCCUGCACUCUGGGACAAGCCCUGGAAACGGGGUCUAAUACCGGAUAUUACUCGUCAAGGCAUCUUGACGGGUGGAAAGCUCCGGCGGUGCAGGAUGAGCCCGCGGCCUAUCAGCUUGUUGGUGGGGUGAUGGCCUACCAAGGCGACGACGGGUAGCCGGCCUGAGAGGGCGACCGGCCACACUGGGACUGAGACACGGCCCAGACUCCUACGGGAGGCAGCAGUGGGGAAUAUUGCACAAUGGGCGAAAGCCUGAUGCAGCGACGCCGCGUGAGGGAUGACGGCCUUCGGGUUGUAAACCUCUUUCAGCAGGGAAGAAGCGCAAGUGACGGUACCUGCAGAAGAAGCACCGGCUAACUACGUGCCAGCAGCCGCGGUAAUACGUAGGGUGCGAGCGUUGUCCGGAAUUAUUGGGCGUAAAGAGCUCGUAGGCGGCUUGUCGCGUCGGAUGUGAAAGCCCGGGGCUUAACCCCGGGUCUGCAUUCGAUACGGGCAGGCUAGAGUUCGGUAGGGGAGAUCGGAAUUCCUGGUGUAGCGGUGAAAUGCGCAGAUAUCAGGAGGAACACCGGUGGCGAAGGCGGAUCUCUGGGCCGAUACUGACGCUGAGGAGCG
rnacentral:rRNA from 1 species